GACGAACGCUGGCGGCGUGCUUAACACAUGCAAGUCGAACGGGCCUGUCUUCUUUUUUGGGGGUGGGUUGAGUGGCGAACGGGUGAGUAUCACGUGAGUAACCUGCCCUUCGGUCCUGGAUAACCGCUUGAAAGGGCGGCUAAUACGGGGUGGUCCGGUUGGUCCGCAUGGGCUGGUCGGGAUAGAUUCACUGUUUUUGGUGUUUCGGCGGGGGAUGGGCUCGCGGCCUAUCAGCUUGUUGGUGGGGUGAUGGCCUACCAAGGCGGUGACGGGUAGCCGGCCUGAGAGGGUGGGCGGCCACACUGGGACUGAGAUACGGCCCAGACUCCUGCGGGAGGCAGCAGUGGGGGGUAUUGCACAAUGGGCGGAAGCCUGAUGCAGCGACGUCGCGUGAGGGAGGGAGGCCUUCGGGUUGUGAACCUCUGUUUCCGGUGGUGAAGGCCCUGUCCGUGUGGUGGGGUUGACGGUAGCCGGGGAUGAAGCGCCGGCUAACUACGUG
rnacentral:rRNA from 1 species